rnacentral:tRNA from 4 species
GCCGGGAUAGCUCAGUCGGUAGAGCAGAGGACUGAAAAUCCUCGUGUCACC